rnacentral:rRNA from 1 species
AAUCAACGCUGGCGGCAGGCCUAACACAUGCAAGUCGAGCGGUUGAGGGAAGCUUGCUUCCCGAUUUAGCGGCGGACGGGUGAGUAAUGCUUAGGAAUCUGCCUAUUAGUGGGGGACAACAUUCCGAAAGGAAUGCUAAUACCGCAUACGUCCUACGGGAGAAAGCAGGGGAUCUUCGGACCUUGCGCUAAUAGAUGAGCCUAGGUCGGGUUAGCUAGUUGGUGGGGUAAAGGCCUACCAAGGCGACGAUCUGUAGCGGGUCUGAGAGGAUGAUCCGCAACACUGGGACUGAGACACGGCCCAGACUCCUACGGGAGGCAGCAGUGGGGAAUAUUGGACAAUGGGGGGAACCCUGAUCCAGCAAGGCCGCGUGUGUGAAGAAGGCCUUAUGGUUGUAAAGCACUUUAAGCGAGGAGGAGGCUACUGAGACUAAUACUCUUGGAUAGUGGACGUUACUCGCAGAAUAAGCACCGGCUAACUCUGUGCCAGCAGCCGCCGUAAAAC